rnacentral:rRNA from 2 species
GAAACAACUCUCAGCAACGGAUAUCUUGGCUCUUGCAACGAUGAAGAACGCAGCGAAAUGCGAUACGUAUUGUGAAUUGCAGAAUUCCGCGAAUCAUCGAGUCUUUGAACGCAAGUUGCGCCCGAGGCUUGUCCGAGGGCAUUUCCGCUAGAGCGUCACC